GUCUUCGUGGUGUAGUGGUCAGCACGCUGAGCGUGUAUUCCAGAGAUCCGUGGUUCGAGUCCCAGCGAAGACG
rnacentral:tRNA from 1 species